AACAGGCAGGGCUUGGUCUUAUUCUGUUUAAAUGAUCAAUAGUUCCUGUAGUUCUAACAAAAACAGGAUGGCUCCUCUUUUUAUUCAUUUGUUUUCCAUUUUUCCACAUGCAUCCUCCAUUAGUUGGGUUGGGAUCAAUAAAUUCACCAUUCUGUUUCAUUUGAUAGAAUGCAUUUGGAUUUGUAUCGAGGAGAUAUUUUUUUCUUAAUUCUUCUAACUGUUUCUUGUAUUCAAAGUACCCUGGAGGAAAGACAAUGGUUUCAUAAACCAUUGGUUUAAAUACUUCAUUUGCACUGGAGUAGUUUUGUCUAAUAUGCUUCUCAGCCUCUAAGGCACCGUAUUCACCAGAACAAUACAUUAAUGUCUUGGCUGGAUUUAAGCAUGAAGCUGAAUCUGCAAACGUAUCAUCUCUUGCAAAGUCAUGAACAGAAUUCUUAUAUCUAUUUGGCACACUAUAGCAGUUAAGAGAUUCCGAAUUGUAUUGAUUAUUCAUUCGUUGAGGAAUACAGUUAUCAAAUGGAUUUAAGGUUGUUGAAUUUGUAAAGGUUGGUCUACCAGCACUAGAGCUUCUUCCAUAAUUUGGAGCCGAGUAUAGUUCUUCUCUGUUAUAGUAGUUAUCUCCAUAGUUUUGUAAGUAUUCUCCCUUGUAAUGGGUAAUAUUGGAAUUGUAAGGGACAUUGGAUUUUCCAGCCAUGAAAUUUUUAACAUUUGGUGGCGGAUUUGAUGGUGCAUUUUGAGUAACUCUUCUAGUUGGAUUUCUUUUUUGUGGAAAUUGAUCAAAGUUUGGUUGUCGCUCUGGAAGUCUUUCUUGGGGUUGAUAAAAAGAUUGGUUGAUAUUAUCUCUCAAAUGUCCGUCAUCAGAAUCAAUUGAAAAUGGGUAUGGUACUGUUGGAUAUUCAGUUUUAUUAUUUGGGUAAUUUGAAUAGCAACCUGUAAAACUGGGUCUUGAAGCAUAAUCUUCAGGUACCUUGUGUCUCUCAAUAUCAGAAUUAGACUGAUUGCUCCUUUGAGCUGUUGUUACACUGCUACUUCGUCUUGGAAUUCCAGAAUUACUAGCGUUCAUUUCAUUAAUUGACUUUUUUGAUCUAGAAUUUGCGGGGUUAUUUCCUGCUGUGCUUGAAACACUACCUAAUGACCUUCUAUUUGGGAUGGAAUUUCCAUUUUGUCUCUGAAAUCUGUCUAAUUCGUUUGAUCCUAAUCCUGUUUUAGAGGGCAUUUUCCUGGUGCUACUUGUCAGAUUCUGUUGAGGUGGCUGGCUCUUAUUUCUAAGAGACUCAAAAGACCUUCUUUUUGGUCUUAAAGUUGCUGAAUUCAUUACUGUUUGGCUUCCAGGAAUAGACUUAUUUUCUCCUUGAAUUAUAUUUCUUGUUAAGUCUCUGGUUCUGGGUGUAAUUACUGGAACAGGAACUGGUAUAGGAUAAGAAUGGUCACCAAUUGGAGUUAAUUUGUGGGAGUUAUUUCUGCCAUUUGAAUGCAUCAUUUCGUCAUAAAUAUCUGUUAAAGGAACUCCCGGAGUACCCAUAGGUACUACCUUAGCAUCCUUACCAUUAGAUGGCCAUAUUCCUGCAUAUCCUAAAUGCUCACUGUCCAUAGCAUCUAACUUAUUUUUAUUUGAGUAGUUC
rnacentral:antisense_RNA from 1 species